rnacentral:rRNA from 1 species
UAGCCUUGACAUACCAAAAAGAUUUCAGAGAUGAGAUUGUGCUAGUUUACUAGAAUUUGGAUAC